rnacentral:lncRNA from 1 species
CGGGGAGGGCCGGAGUCCGUCCGAGGGCUCCCGCACCUCGGGCUGCGGCCCUGGAGAGUUGCUGUAGAAGAAGGAAAAGAGAGGAAGACAACACAGGAGGAGAUAAGUAGCUCUGGAUACAUUGGAAGGUCACAUUGCUAAAUAGUUGUUGAGCAGAGGGAAAAGCUGACUGUACAAGUCCUCUCUGGGAGCAGACUUUUAAGCAAAAGAGAUCUAUGAAAGCAGCACAACCCCAGCAGCUACUAUUAACAAGUGUCUGGAAUAUGUUCCUGGCAUUUCACCUGUACUCUCCAGUCCUUCCAAGAAACCCACAAAGCAAGUAUUACCAACAAGAGACCAGACACCCGGAGGAUUUACACUACUUGCCCAAGACCACACAGCCAAUUAUAGACGAUGUUGCCACUUGUACCAAAGUCCAUCUGGCUUCAAAGCCUGCUCUUUCCCCAUUAAACAAAAUGUCUCUCUGCCCUUACUUUUUUUUCCCUUCAGGGCUUUUUCUUGAACUUCUCUUCCUCACAAUAAUUAAAUCAUCCAUUUAA